AUGGUAGAAACAAUGUUUUUGUGCAACACGAGUGCCAUAAAGGACUGGAGCUAUUUUCUGUCGCAGAUACUGCCCCUGAUGAAUAAAACUACAGGCUUGGUAAACAUGGACAAAGCGGAAGAUGUGACGACCACCAUGGUGACGGCUCUGCAGCCGGACAGCGCCAUGAGCGCGAGUAAGCCGCCUCUCAACUCCAACCAUACCUCGGGCAUGGAGCACGUCUUUCAGUACUCUUAUUCGGAGAGUGACCUGCUGUACACGGACUACCGGACCCCUGCGCGAGACUCCAUCCCGCUGCCCAAAGCGGUUCUCUACCUGGUCAUGGCAGCGCUGGUGGUGGUGGCGGUGGCGUAUGCGAUAGUAGGACACCUGGUCAAAGAUGUGGUUAAUGACUUUGUCGGUGGAGGCAGGUCGAUGGUUGCUGAAGGUGACGGAGGUGAAACCAGUGAACCAGGGUGGGUGUUAGGCUCUCGUCGCAACAAGACGGAGAUAAACUGCAUCACCAACAACAUGAACGAGAUGAGCGAGCUGGGCGAGAGGCCCCGGCUGGUGGAAAUGAGCUACAUAUCCAUGAACCACACUAACUGCCUGAGCUCCAGCAGGCCGGAGGAGAUAGUGGUCACCAUAGAUGAGACGCUGCAGCAGCAGCGACCUCCGGACACUCACUCUGGGACUUAACUGCGACCUCCUGACCUUCCCUGAGAGAAAUAAAGCAGCGUAUUUGCUUGCAUUUCUUGUUCAAGUGGAUUUAAAAGUCUUUCAUGAAUCAAAGCUCUAUCCACUGUUUUAUCACCUGCAGGUGGGCUGUUAACACCUGUGCAAUGUUGGGCCAGAAGGGACUUUGAACUGUCGACCCGGGCUGGAACAUUGGAGGCUUCAGAUGCUGAUGUUUGUAUCAGAUUGGACUCCUUUCUGCAGAGAUGGCUUGAGAGGACGGCUGCAGUUUUAUUUUUUUGGACAGGCAGCUGAGAAAAAGGUGUUUUUUUUGUUAUUGUACUUCCCCCUUUUUCAAGUGACCCCCUUGUGAAAAUACCGCUCUGUUAAUGUAGACACUUGCAGUUCACUGUAACCACAAACAGUAUGUAACCACUCUAAAUACAUGAUACACGCCGGGCAGUGCUUAUUGUAAUAUUGCUGCUAGCAAGGUUAAACACAAAACAAUUACGUCAACAUUUUUUAUUAAUUGUGUGACACUUAAAGUUUUUUGUAAUUAUUGUAAAGUUUAUAUCAAGCAGCUCAACUGACACAGGGAGGCUCCAAAUGUUAACACCUGCUUCUUUCUUCUGUAAUAAUGCUGUAAUUACUGGUUGCAAAAAAAGUUCACUACACAGUGAUAAAAAGUAUUUUGUAGUAGUCAUGUUAUUAGCUUGAUGUGAACAAGUGCUAAGUCACCUUUAAGAGCUCUGGUUGCACCUGAUUGCAAAAAAUAUUAAAUAUAAAAGUUUCAAAGCCAUUGCUGUUAUGUUAAAAAAAACAGAGUCAAACAGAGUGACUGUCAUGCUUUAUGAUUUCUUGGUAUUCUUGGCAUCACCUUUGAAGCAAAAAGUGUUCAUGGCUUGUUCCUUUUUCUAAUGUUUAAUAUUUCGUGUGACAUGGCGUUUGUCAGAGCCUUUGUUUACCUGUAUUACCUCACUGUUAAGGGCUACGUACUGCUGCUGAUGAGUCUGGGACACCAUCUCAAAGCUUCAACCGACGGGGCUUAUUUUUCUGUGCAUGCUGGGAUGCAUGCAUUUUACUCUGCACACACACCUACUGUACACUGUGUUUUUGGGAAGAUAUCUACUGAAGUUACUGACGUUUUUGACUAUUUCAAUGUAUGAAUAAACAUUUUUUACACACUUGCACAUAUUUGGGGCAAACUAGAGUAAAGCGGGACUUGACUUCAGAUGGUAGGGUUCCGAUUUUAAGGGCAAUAUAAUAAAAAUGGUGUUGUAACUGUGCAGCAGUGAUCAUUUCCCAGACAUUAAAUGUAACGGUUCAAAAUCUGAACCUGCAAAAAAGCUCAUUUUUUUCCCACCGCCUUGAUGCCGUCAAUAACUGUAUUCUUUCAAGUCAUCUAAUAAAUAUUCAUGAACAAAUGUG
rnacentral:lncRNA from 1 species